UGGGAUUCGAACCCAUGAU
rnacentral:snRNA from 1 species